UACGGAGGAGGCAAGCGUCAUCCGCAAUUAUUGGGCGUAAAGCGUCCGUAGGUGGUUGGCCAAGUCUGCUGUCAAAGGGUGGGGCUUAACCUCAUAAAGGCAGUGGAAACUGGCGAGCUAGAGUGCGGUAGGGGUAGGGGGAAUUCCCAGUGUAGCGGUGAAAUGCGUAGAGAUUGGGAAGAACAUCGGUGGCGAAAGCGCCCUGCUGGGCCUGCACUGACACUGAGGGACGAAAGCUAGGGGAGCUAAAGGG
rnacentral:rRNA from 1 species